rnacentral:rRNA from 1 species
AACACGUAGGAAUCUGCCUGACAGUGGGGGAUAACUUAGGGAAACUUAAGCUAAUACCGCAUACGCCCCAAGGGGGAAAGCGGGGGACUCUCGUAGCCUCGCGCUGACAGAUGAGCCUGCGUCGGAUUAGCUGGUUGGCGGGGUAAAAGCCCACCAAGGCAACGAUCCGUAGCUGGUCUGAGAGGACGAUCAGCCACACUGGGACUGAGACACGGCCCAGACUCCUACGGGAGGCAGCAGUGGGGAAUCUUGGACAAUGGGCGCAAGCCUGAUCCAGCAAUGCCGCGUGUGUGAAGAAGGCCUGCGGGUUGUAAAGCACUUUCAGUGGAGGAAGAAAUGCCAAAUACUAAUACCAUUUGGUUUUGACGCUACUCCAAGAAGAAGCACC